GACGAACGCUGGCGGCGUGCUUAACACAUGCAAGUCGAACGGAAAGGCCCUGCUUUUGUGGGGUGCUCGAGUGGCGAACGGGUGAGUAACACGUGAGUAACCUGCCCUUGACUUUGGGAAAACUUCAGGAAACUGGGGCUAAUACCGGAUAGGAGCUCCUGCUGCAUGGUGGGGGUUGGAAAGUUUCGGCGGUUGGGGAUGGACGCGCGGCUUAUCAGCUUGUUGGUGGGGUAGUGGCUUACCAAGGCUUUGACGGGUAGCCGGCCUGAGAGGGUGACCGGCCCCAUUGGGACUGCGAUACGGCCCAGACUCCUACGGGAGGCAGCAGUGGGGAAUAUUGCACAAUGGGCGGAAGCCUGAUGCAGCAACGCCGCGUGCGGGAUGACGGCCUUCGGGUUGUAAACCGCUUUCGCCUGUGACGAAGCGUGAGUGACGGUAAUGGGUAAAGAAGCACCGGCUAACUACGUG
rnacentral:rRNA from 1 species